rnacentral:rRNA from 1 species
GACGAACGCUGGCGGCGUGCCUAAUACAUGCAAGUAGAACGCAGUUGCGAACGGGAGAGUAACGCGCAGGUAACUGCCUGGAAGCGGGGGAUAACUAUUGGAAACGAUAGCGAAUACCGCAUACUACCAGAUGGACCUGCGUUGUAUUAGCUAGUUGGUGAGGUACCGGCUCACCAAGGCAACGAUACAUAGCCGACCUGAGCGGGGUAUCGGCCAAACUGUGACUGCGUCAGCGCCCAGAGUCCUACGGGAGGCAGCAGUAGGGAAUCGUCGGCAAUGGGGGGAACGCUGACCGGGCACCUCCGAGUUAGUGGCGAAGGUUUUCGGAUCGUAAAGCUCUGUUGUUAAGGAAGCGGUACUUAUCCAGAACGGUACGGCUAACUACGUGCCAGCCGCCGCGGUAAUUC